rnacentral:lncRNA from 10 species
GCUUCCUGUCUCUCUGCGCCAGCCUCGGCCUGCGGCGGGGUAGAGCGCCGGAAACGGCUUUAGCGGCUUUGGGAAUUGCGGGCGAAAGUUAAACGGAGAGAUCUUAGAGAUUUGCCCGCAAAUCGAAACAAAACUGCCCCUACUAACUCUGUGCCAACCUGUGCACCGUCUCACUGUGAACCCCUGAAAAUGCCUUUCUGGAGAAGGUUAAGCAAAUGCCUGAGAUGAUUUUGCCAUAAACCCGAGCGUUGCACCAGACACGCGUCUGGAUUGAUAGGUUGAAACCAGUAAAGUGGGGGAGUGAAAUAAAAACUAAAGCCCUAGUUAAAUCCUAGCAUUAUGGUCAAAUCGAUUUUGGAGACAGGUCGGUCCGCUAAAACAAAGUAACAGUAGACCGGCUGCAAGCUGCUUUGGGUGUCCACUUUCGUUUCUCACGAAGUCCUGAUAAGUUUUUUUUUUUUUUGAAAAGUAUUAAACGUACCUCUACAGGACUGGAAAUGCAACUCACAUGAGCCUUUUUAAGAAACGGGGAGGAAGGCCGGGCACGGUGGCUUAUGCCUGUAAUCCCAGCACUUUGGGAGGCCGAGGCGGGCGGAUCACGAGGUCAGGAGUUCGAUACUAGCCUUGCCCACAUGGUGAAACCCCAUCUCUACUUAAAAAUGCAAAAUUAGCUGGGCGUGGUGGUGCGCGCCUGUAAUCCCAGCUACUCUGGAGGCUGAGGCAGGAGAAUCGCUUGAACCCGGGAGGCAGAGGUUGCAGUGAGCUGAGAUCUGCCAUUGCACUCCAGCCUGGGUAAUAGAGUGAGACUUUGUCUCAAAAAAAAGAAAGAAAGAAACGGGGAGAAAACCCAAUUAAUUAGGUCCUAGUUCAUCUCUUAUGGUCCAAUGGGAAAUGCAGAUUUUAAAUGUUGAGAUACGAUACAUUUCUAUCUCUGCCCAGAGAGUUAUCCCUCACAACUAUUUCUGCAUUUUUUAAUAUGUCAAGUUUAACACUAUAAUUACUUUAAAUAACCUGAUCUUCCCCGCCCCCCUUUUCUUUAGAUUUUAAAUUAUUAGUAAUUAUUUGUGGAGACGGGAUCUCACUGUGAUUCCCAGGCUGGUCUCCAACUCCCAGCAUCAAAGUGAUCCUCCCGCCGUGGCCUCCCAUAUGUGCUGAGAUGACAGCAGAUAACCUUACUUCUUCCAGCACAAAGAAAAGUAAAAGCCAUGAAGCUCAGUAUCUCCCUCCUCACCACCACAAGAC